UGCUCAUCAAGAGAGGUGGAGGGACUGGCCCGAUGAAACCCGGCAACCUCACGUAAGGUGCCAAGUCCUGCGGGAAGAAUAUUCCUGACAGAUGAGGU
rnacentral:ncRNA from 2 species